rnacentral:rRNA from 1 species
UACAGAGGAGCCAAGCGUUGUCCGGAUUUACUGGGCGUAAAGAGCGCGCAGGCGGUCGUUCAAGUCGCGUGUGAAAGCCCCCGGCUCAACUGGGGAGGGUCACGCGAUACUGAUCGACUCGAAGGCAGGAGAGGGUAGUGGAAUUCCCGGUGUAGUGGUGAAAUGCGUAGAUAUCGGGAGGAACACCAGUGGCGAAGGCGACUACCUGGCCUGUUCUUGACGCUGAGGCGCGAAAGCUAGGGGAGCAAACAGG